ensembl:lncRNA
CCCCCACCCACCCCCACGGCGGGGCGGCUCAGUGGGGCGGAAGGGGGGCACAGCGCGACCCCCGGGACCGCCGACCCCACAACCCUUCGCGCUCCGCUGUGGCGGCUCCCGUGGCGCUGAGCGGCGGAGCCGUCGCGGUGCUGCUGGCUGUGGGGGCAGCAGGAGGUGCAGAGGAGCGGCGCGUGGCGACCCCGUGCAGAGCAUCGCCAUGGGGACGGCGCACACAGAGGGCGCGUUGUGAAGGGCUGCAGGGCCGCUAUGGGGUGGACGUGUGGGGCCGCUGUGGGGCGGACGUGUGGGGCCGCUGUGGGGCGGACGUGUGGGGCUCUAUGGGGCAAUAAAGAGUUUUGGUGCCGGUGGCGCAGAGCCCCCCCUGUGCCCAUCGCUGUGUGUGGCACUGCGGCCUUUCCCACACCCCACUCC